rnacentral:tRNA from 1 species
AUUCAUAUAGUUUAAUAAAAACACUGCACUUUCAAAGCAGAGAUAAAUUCUAUUUUAUGA